ACAGGGUGACAGGUGGUGCAUGGUUGUCGUCAGCUCGUGUCGUGAGAUGUUGGGUUAAGUCCCGCAACGAGCGCAACCCUCGACCUUAGUUGCCAGCAUUCAGUUGGGCACUCUAAGGUGACUGCCGGCUAAAAGUCGGAGGAAGUGGGGAUGACGUCAAAUCAUCAUGCCCCUUAUGACCUGGGCUACACACGUGCUACAAUGGGCGGUACAAAGGGCCGCGAACCCGCGAGGGGGAGCCAAUCCCAAAAAGCCGCUCUCAGUUCGGAUUGCAGGCUGCAACUCGCCUGCAUGAAGCCGGAAUCGCUAGUAAUCGCGGAUCAGCAUGCCGCGGUGAAUACGUUCCCGGGCCUU
rnacentral:rRNA from 1 species